rnacentral:rRNA from 1 species
CCUACGGGCGGCAGCAGUGAGGAAUAUUGGUCAAUGGACGGAAGUCUGCACCAGCCAUGCCGCGUGCAGGAAGACGGCUCUAUGAGUUGUAAACUGCUUUUGUACAAGGGUAAACCUGAAUACGUGUAUUCAGCUGAAAGUACUGUACGAAUAAGGAUCGGCUAACUCCGUGCCAGCAGCCGCGGUAAUACGGAGGAUCCCAGCGUUAUCAGGAUUUAGUGGGUUUAAAGGGUGCGUAGGCGGAUUGAUAAGUUGGAGGUGAAAUGUCCGAGUUUAACUCGGGAACUGCCUCUAAUACUGUUGAUGUAGAGAGUAGAUGCGGUAGGCGGAAGGUAUGGUGUAGCGGUGAAAUGCUUAGAGAUCAUACAGAACACCGAUUGCGAAGGCAGCUUACCAAUCUAUAUCUGACGUUGAGGCACGAAAGCGUGGGAAGCAAACAGGAUUAGAUACCCCUGUAGUC